AUCACCUGGGAAUCUUGUUAAAAUGCAUAUUAUGAUUCAGUGGCAGUGGGGCCCAAGAGUCUGCAUUUCUCACAAGUUCCCAGGGGAUGCUGA
rfam:Chlorocebus sabaeus isolate 1994-021 chromosome 9, whole genome shotgun sequence.